AUGCAAGUCGAACGGCAGCACGGGUGCUUGCACCUGGUGGCGAGUGGCGAACGGGUGAGUAAUACAUCGGAACAUGUCCAGUAGUGGGGGAUAGCCCGGCGAAAGCCGGAUUAAUACCGCAUACGAUCUACGGAUGAAAGCGGGGGACCUUCGGGCCUCGCGCUAUUGGGGUGGCCGAUGGCGGAUUAUCUAGUUGGUGGGGUAAAGGCCCACCAAGGCGACGAUCCGUAGCUGGUCUGAGAGGACGACCAGCCACACUGGGACUGAGACGCGGCCCAGACUCCUACGGGAGGCAGCAGUGGGGAAUUUUGGACAAUGGGCGAAAGCCUGAUCCAGCAAUGCCGCGUGUGUGAAGAAGGCCUUCGGGUUGUAAAGCACUUUUGUCCGGAAAGAAAUCCUGGUGGCUAAUAUCCGCCGGGGAUGACGGUACCGGAAGAAUAAGCACCGGCUAACUACGUGCCAGCAGCCGCGGUAAUACGUAGGGUGCGAGCGUUAAUCGGAAUUACUGCGCGUAAAGCGUGCGCAGGCGGUGAUGUAAGACCGAUGUGAAAUC
rnacentral:rRNA from 1 species